GAUGAAGAACGUAGCGAAAUGCGAUAAGUAGUGUGAAUUGCAGAAUUUAGUGAAUCAUCGAAUCUUUGAACGCACAUUGCGCCCGCCAGCAUUCUGGCGGGCAUGCCUGUUCGAGCGUCAUUUCAACCCUCGAGCCCCCCCGGGGGCCUCGGUGUUGGGGGACGGCACACCAGCCGCCCCCGAAAUGCAGUGGCGACCCCGCCGCAGCCUCCCCUGCGUAGUAGCACACACCUCGCACCGGAGCGCGGAGGCGGUCACGCCGUAAAACGCCCAACUUUCUUAGAGUUGACCUCGGAUCAGGUAGGAAUACCCGCUGAACUUAAGCAUAUCAAUAAGCGGAGGA
rnacentral:misc_RNA from 1 species